rnacentral:lncRNA from 1 species
AAAAAUAAAAGCCACCAAUUCCAUUCUAUGCAUACAAUUCCAACAACUAAAACAAACACAUAUUUGCUAUAAACCAGCAGCAUUACACAUCAUUACUAAUCCAAGAUUUAUAAUAAACCAGCGGCAUUAGAGCACAUCCUGUAAGAGCAUACAGAAUUGUCAUGGUUUUCAGGCCUUCAAUUAAAACACCUACACUUCUUGCCAAGUCACUUACUCCCAGCUAGUGCAAACACAGUUACAAGCAAACCAAAAUGCAUAAAAACACCAAACAACGGCAUCUCUCCAAAUGAUCCGCUCCCUCUACAUCAUUGCAAGCAUCUUCACGAUAAGCAAGUCCCUAGGAAAAAGUCAACUUAGCAUGUGCUCCCUCUGUCAACUCUCCAGAGUAGAUUUUAUCCAUUGCCCUGGCCAUGUUCAAGAAACACUAAAUUAAGAAUAUUUCUACUCUAAAUAUAGGAGGCACCAGGACAGAAAACAAAAGAUGAGCAAUAUCAUAUGAGCAGAAUAAAAAGGAGUUUGGACCAUAGCAUGGUUAACAAUAAAAUAUAGUGCUCUAACAAAAGCAAGAGUGCAACACGUUGCCAUGUUCCCUUUGAAAUAUCAACACACUAAAAAAGGCAAUAAACAUAAACUGUAUUUCUUAUAAAAACUUUAGACAUGUUCAGGAAACACAUGUAGUUAACGACAAGUACAUAUCACCCAUCUUAUAGAUUCAAAGACAGAUAACAAAAAUUAACUAGACAAAGUUAGAUGACAGUGAAGCUUAAAGUUGCAGUAAGAAAUAUUAGAUAUACACAUUUUGAAAAUCAACCUCGGUGGAACAACAUAAGAUUGCAUUUAGAUUUCCGAAUUAAACAUAUGCAUAUCUCAUAGUUUAAAAUAAAGGCACUCAACAGAAAAGUGCAUAAAAGAUUUCAAAAUAACUCAACAAGCUGCUUCAGCUAGCAUCAUAGGAGGGGAUGUACAUGUAUAAAAAUUGAGAGACCAAAGACCAAAGGACCUUGUUGCACUGUGCAGUCUCUUUUUCUUCUCUCUGCGAGAAUUUGUGCCGUCUCUUUGCGCUGUGCAGCGUAGCAUGCAGCCUGAUGUUGCUGAACCUGUGAUGUUGCUGAACAUAGGAAUAUGCUUCUUUAGCUGAUCAUUUAUUCCUGCAUAAGCUGGAAUUUUGGUUUGGUGGAACUUGACUUGCACAAAUGUCUGAACCUAACCUCAUAUGGAGUACUACACUACACGUAAAAUAUAGGUCAAGGAUACUUCUUGGCUUUUAAGAGCUUCUAGUAACCAGACCAAGUGAAUUUUUCAGAUUCAAAUGAGCAGUAAAUAAAAUACAGGGAUUCAUCCCACCAAAAAGAUCUAAAACUACACAGCAUUGCAAAAUCAUGAACAGACAAAGAACAGAGCAAAGAAUUUACUGUAAGUCAGAGAGAAUUCCGACAUUUUUCUAGUAACCACACCAAACUGAAUUUGUCAGAUUCAAACAAUUGCUAGAUACAACGAUUCAUCCCACCAUGCAGAUGUAAAACUCCAUAGCAUAUUAAAAUCAUGAACAAACUCCAUAGCAUAGUACGACAUGCAGUUAGUUAAUUAUUUGCAUGUCAACAGUUCUAACCUCUAGCUACAGAUCUUCAAACUAAAGAUUGUGAACUCUAUUAGACAUGAUUAUAUCAAUUAGACCAAAUAGAAAAUAAUUCAAUAUGUUGUAUAUCCGUUAAACAAAGUUCAAUCUAUCUUCUGAUUAUUAGUGUUUCAGUUAGGUGACUAGUCCUUCUAGGGCCGCCGGUUAAUAGGUGAGCCAUGACUUUUUACAGUAAAAAAUGCAAAGGAAAUAGCAGGUUACUCCAUUGAUCCAACUAGUAGUGAAUGAGCUAGUGUAGGUUACUUCAUUGAAUGAACCCAGCUGGUGUAUAUAUAUGGACGCAGCCACCACCAGUGGAUAUAAGUUCUAGUCAAAUCAGACUCACCUAUUAACCGACUUGGACAACAAAUUCCUAAUCCUGGUAUUAUACUCCUACCAACGCAGCUAGAUAGCUAGGACAAGUCCUAGUCGGACUCAAGUUAGUAUUUUUCCUAAUCUAAUUAUACGGCCACGUUGAUCACACCUUACUAAUUCUGGCUGGACACUAGUAACACAAGAAAAGCAAAUCGACUCAAGCUAGUUUUCCUAGACUACUACACCGAUGUAGAUUUGUAGACUAAUAAGUUUGGAUUAAGCUAACAAUGUUUACUGCUACUGUACGCAGCCAGGGUAAUGACCAGACCAGCAUGUGCACGCAGGGAGGGAGGGGCCGGGGUUACCUGCAGCUGCAGGAAGAUGGGUGGGAGGGCGCAACAUUCAAGGAAAGGAAGGUCCGUCCAUGGCUUGCUUCCUCCUCAGGUGGUUGUCGGACGAAUCCUCGGGUCGGUCUAGGGUUUUCUUCUCCUGCA